UGGUCACAACUCCGGAUGGUAUAUUGGAUCAUGAAGAGGCUAUCAGUCGGAAUGUGGGAGGUCAGGUUCUUGGUUAUUUUCAUUAGAUGUGUCAUCUUUUCAGAUUGUGAGAACUUGGAAUCUCAAAAGGACCAUGAUGGUUCUUGUUUUCUUUUCUUUUUUUGAAGGGUAAAUUAACUUUCAAUUGAAGCCCGCAUCUCCUCUCUCUUUUAAGUGAAAUGAGUUUACUUUAGCUGUAUCAAAAGUAACAAUCAAUGGCUCCUUUAUCAUGUAGUCAAGUUCAGACUUUGCGACGCCUAGAUGAUAUCAUGGAUGUGGCAAAACAUGUUGCUUGAGAGGUUCAGUAAGAUCGAUCCAUGAAACACGAAGGAAAUUAGCUUACCAUGUGUACCUGUUGCAUACUUGAAGCAUUUUGAUUUUGAUUGCCAUUGGGAGCUCUUCAGGCUGAUUGUGCAAAGUAUGGGUAGUUUUCUCGUUUCUUAAAUUCCUCCUGUUUCAGGUCUCAGGUAAAAUCCUAUUUGUUGUGGCUUGGGAGUUGGGACCAUGGGAAUUAGCACUCUCAUAACUAAUGCGUUUUGCAGCAAGUCAAUUAAUUUUUGGUAGAAUAUCAAUAUUUUCUUGUGCAAACGACGUCAUUGAAGGAAAAAAGGCCCUUUGCUUUAUUUUAUUUUCUUUUUGAAUAAAUGAAAUGUUUUGAUUUUUUUUUCUUUUAAGAGCAUUAACAUCAUCUGAUGUUUUUUUUUCUUUUUUUUGAAGAAAGAAAUAUGUCAUUUACCUGUGUGAAUACUGAAAAGCAAUUAUUCCAGCACUUGAAAGCAUGGUUAUUAAAUCUGGUGACUCGGAUUAAUUUGAAAAGAUUUAAAAAUAUAUUUAAGAUUUUAAUAUUUUAUAUGAAAAAAUUAAAGAUAUUUUGCAUAGAUGUAAGUUAUAAAUAUAGUUCUUCAAUAAAAAAAAUAAGAAAUAAUAUGUAAAUAAAGGAUAUAUAUAUAUAUAAAAAAUAUUAUUCUACCUCGCUAGCAGAUAAAAAUUUUGUGCAGAGAAAAGUAAAAUAGUAAUUACACCAUGCAAGUUCACAAUAUAUAGUGAAACAAUGAUCUCUUCCGGAGUUUUUCAUUAUACUCAAAUUCAUUUUAACUCAUUUUUCGUGUUUUAUUUUUAAUCAAUCGGAAAUUACCCAACUGGCUCUUUUUUGUCUAAUUUUAAAAAUAAAAAUGCUAGUUUCUCUUAAAAAAGGUGUGUUUUUGUGCAUAAAAUAAAGGAAUUGGAAAUGGAUGAAGGGACUCGAUUAAAAAAAGUACGGUACCUGUGGACCUAACUUGGAAAUAUUUCUGUGCUGGUAAAUGAGAAUUGGUGGAUGGCUCGCUGCUGAGAUAACGUGGAAAAUGUUGUUUGGUUUGGCAAUUUCACUUGCGCCGGAUGGAUGCCGACCCCGCUUGAAUGGACAGUAAAGUUUAUGGAUAUUUCGUGCUUGGUUCAGUUAACUGUGUGGUUGGUAUUUAGUAUUUUUUUAUAUGAUUAUAGUUUAAAAAUUAAACAUAUAUUUGAGAUUCCAAUAAAUAUUAUGUUUUAAAGUAUUUUUUAUUUAAAAAUAAUAUUUUUUUUAUUUUUUUACCAGCAUAUCAAAAUAAUAAAAAAACUAAAAAAUUUAAUUUUAAACAAAAAAAUUUAAAUUUUUAGCGAAUAAUGUUUUUACCAUAAUACCAAACAUGCAAAAUCUUUUUAAAAAUUAUAAGUUAUAGUUUUUUUCUUAAAUAAAAUUCUAAUAAAGAGUUUCUAGCAUAAUCAUAUAAAAUCAUAAUAUAUAUUAAUUAAUUAAAUAUUUUUAAAUAUGUCACAGGGUAAAAUGCACGCAGCACAUAAACAAAUUUAGCCUAAAAUUUGAAGGUAAGAAGGUGGGUAUGGAUACUACAUUAUCUUUACCAAAACAUUACUCAAAAGUCAAUAAUGACCUUAAAGUUUAACAAAAUCACAUUUAUACCAACCUUAUAUAUUUUUAAAAAAUAAAUAACGACCCCAGGGUUUCUCCUCUUUCAACCGCCGAACACUUUCCAGCAGACAACACACGAAAAAAGAAGGGUUUUAGUCCAAUCCCCAUUGUCUUCUUUAUCUCCGGAUUUUCUCUCAAAAGAAGUCAGUUUCUCUUCUUAUCUCAAUAAUCACUCAUCCUGCAAAUAUUUAGUAAAUUUAUCUCAAUAAACAUUUAUCUCAUUUUUAUCUCUCUACGCCCCUCCGAUCUGUAUCUCCAAUAACUGUUAGAGAGAGAGCCUCUUCAGGUACAUCUCUUUCUGUCAAACUUUACGUAUUUUUGUCAUUAAGUUUAGGCUUAUGCUUAUUGAUUCCUUUUUUAUUGCUGAGAAAACUGAGAAACAGAAAGAAAGUUUUGAUUUUUUUACGGUGAAAAUGAAAUUGAAGCUAUCAAUCUUGCGACUUACAUCAGUUAUUAUUUUUGUUACUUCUCGUGACAGUUUAGAAUGGCUGUUGAAUCGGGAUCGGUAUAGCAUUUUCUAUCUUUAUCUGUAAAUUUAGUAACUGAAAUAGACUGUAAUUGUUGAUCCCAGUUUGCAAAAAAAAAGGUCUCUCUGUCGAUUUUUAUGUAAAUUUUAUCAGCCUGUUAAAUGAUUAUUUUCUGAUUUUAUUUCUGGGAGGCCAAGGAUAUGGCAGUGUUGGGAUUCCCUGGUUAAGAAUGGCUUCCUAUUGAUUUUUGGAGUACGCAUUUUAGAAACCAGAAGCUUUGCUUUCGACAGUCUUAGGUUUAUGAAUACUGUGAAAUGUGGAUAACUUUUUGAUGCUUUGUUAAAUUGUAGAUUUCUUUAUCAUAGGGAAAUAAGGAAUGAUUGAUAACUUUUAUAUUCCAGAAUUGAGCAAUACAUGUGUGAAAUCCCGGUACAUUAUAAAUACGAUGACCGAUGACCGUGGAACAUGAUUGUAAAGUCCCGAUAAAUCAAAUAAGAUGACUGGAAACAUGGUGAAAAAUUGAUAAGAAAGAUUUAAUAAAGAGGUAUUAAAUAAAAUAUUAGGAUACAUUGAAUGAAUAAUUAUGGAUGAUAAAAAUGAUUCCGGAAGUUAGCCUGAAGAUGUUGGAAAGGCCUAGGGUAAUUAAAUACAAUAAGACAAAAAUCAACUCAUUUAUUCUCUAAGAGGUGCCGGCCAGAACAGCCCAAAACAGCCCGCUCCCUUUGUUCUUCUUCACCAAAUCCGUUGCAUGUCCUUGCAAAACAAAAUGGUUGUGAGAUUGUAAAUUUGUGAGGAAGGAAGCUACACUAGAAAACAUUGAGAAAGAGAGAGAGGGACGGAUAGAGAAGAGUAAGGAAGAAAAAAAAAAUCAAAUGAGCUUGAAGAAGAAGGAGAAGAGGAAGAAGUUGUCUAGGAAGCCACAACUUAGGCUCAAAUUCGUUUGGUAAGAUGAUUUUCAUUGUUUAAAUUGUGUUCUUGGUAACAUUUGAUGGAGAUGAUGAAAAACCCCAAAUGUUAUAACCUUAGGGUUUGUAUGCAUGUUGAAAAUAGAGGUGUAAUGAAACAAACAUGUUAAAUGAACAUUGGAAGGACACAAAACUAAAGAAACUAAAGAAGAAAAUUGAAAGAAAUCAAGUGGAAAUUCCUAACCUAAGAACCGACCAGCCUUGAACAAAAAAGGGAGUGAGAGAUAUGAUUUGAAAGGGGAAAUGCUAAAUGUUUAACAAGCCUUGUGUAGGGUAAGUUGUGAUUAAAAAUGGAACUUUGGAUAAAUGGAAGGAUUGUGUGUUCUUGUAUACAUGAAAGGGUGUUCAUGGCAGGAAGGAACUUGUUGUAAACACAUCUUUAAAGCAUAGAACUAAUAUUUAGAAUGAAAAUAUGGGAAUGAUGUAAAAAGAUGAAGUAAUUGGAAUAAAAGAACUUGGAUGAAUGGGCAUAUUGGUGUUGGCCAGAUUUGGGAACAAAAAGGAGGGAUGGAAAUUUAGUUUAAAAUUAUAAUGCGAAGUGUUAACAAGUGGGUGAAUGGUGGUAAUGGUAUAGUGAUGUAAGUACAAUUAUUGCCAUUUAUCCUUAAUUAGAAGCAUCAAUGCAUUGCUAAAAUGGAUGGUAGAAUGGAGAGUAAGUGUAUGGACAAGUGUUAAUGAAUUAGAGGAAUUAGUGUGAAAUUUGUACAUGUACAUGUGAAAUUGAGGACAUCCAAAGAAAAACAAAUGGGGCCAUUCGACCAAGUUCAUAAGAUUAGGGGGGGGGAGAAGAAUAUAAAAAUGUUGUAAUGGAAUUAACAAGGAUGAAAAGAUAAGUUUUGGAAAAUAAGGAUUUUGAAGUAAAUGGGUUAAGUUAGCAUAAGAAGGGGAUAAACUAGAAGAAAUUAUGUUAAACAUUGAAAAAAACCAAGAGAAAACUCCUAACAUUAGGGAUGGACAGAUUUGGUUAAUAGGAGGAUUGUGCUUAAAGGUGCUAUAGGGAAUAUGGAAUGAAAAUACUUGGUUGAUUGUCAAAUCCAUAGAUUGAGAAGCUGGACAGUUUUGUCACCUGACUUCGAAAUGAGAUUAGAACUUGAAAAUGAUAGAAUCAGAAAUAAGUUUCUCGGAAGUUGUAGUUAGGGAUGUUAGUUUUCAAACGAAUCUGACCUUACUUAAUUUGGAGUUAUAAAACUCUAGAUAUGGAUUAAAAACUAAAGAAAAGUCAAACUGAAUCUUGCUGGACAGAUUUGUAUAAAGUGCGACAAUGGGUAAUUUUGAUUAUGUUAAUGGCGGAACUGGGUUUUUGUCCCUUCAGUAAAGUUGUAGUUUCAUAUCUUAGCUUUCAAAAAAGUCAAGCCACACCCAAACCCGAGGUCUAUAAUGUUAGUUAUGAAUAAAAUAUUGAACAUUGAUUAUGAGUGAUAACUGGUGUAGAACCUGUAAUGAGGAAAUUAGAUGAAGGAAACUAAACGGAAUCCUCAAUUAAUUCAUGGAAAUAAACUUAUGUGAAUGGAAUUCGCAAUGAUACGAGAGCUCACAUUAUAGUGAAGCUAUGAAAUGAUACUAAUAAUACCUCUUGAUUCAAAGCAUGAGAGGUGCCUGGAGCAGGAUCAUCUGUGAUAGGAGGAAACCAGUCAAUCAGAGAAGGAGGCAGGUGCAUUGCACCUCUGUCAAUUAAUUUUACCUAAAUCCUUGAUACUGAUUAUCGUUGCUUCAAUUACAGUAGGUGUCCAUAAUAAUAAGAAUAUGGGUACUGAAUAAUAUUUCAUUGACUAGUUUCCUGGUUUGGAAAUUAGUGGUGUUAGUGUGACUGGCGACCAGGAAUAAAAUUAUUGAAAUGAAAUUUAAUUUGACUAGUUUCCUGGUUUGGAAACUAGUGGCAUCAGUGUGGCUAAUGACCUGGAAUAAAUUUAUUGAAAUGAAAUUUAAUCUGACUCGUUUCCUUGUUUGGGAACUAGUGGUGUCAAUAUAUCCUCUUUGAAUGGAUGGCAGGAGAAAUAGAAAAGAAAGACAAUGGUCCAGUCAAAGAUUACUGGUUUUAUUUAAUCUCACCUUAAUUUAUCCAAAAAAAAAAAAGUUGCACGAAGGUUCUGGUUUUGUAAGAGUUUCUCGGUUGCAAAUGUAUUAGCUUUUGUCCACUGUUCUCCUUUUCUCUGCACUAUGUCCACUUGUAUGCUUUCUUGAUAUGUAUUGGAUUAUUGUUAAAAACAAACUAGUAGGUAAAUUUCAUAGCCUAUGAUUUGCUUAAUUCUGUGAUAGUAAGUGGUGAAAUUAUAGUUUUCGGGUUUAGAUUUGGGUCAGGUUGGAGUCGGGUUGAAUGAUUUUGUACAUCCAAUUAACAUCAUUAGUGUGGAAUUGAUUGAAAUGCGUCUUCAACAUUUGAUGUUGAUGGUGUGAUGGAUUACAGUUCCUUUGCAUUUGGUUUUCCAGCUUGCUGUGAAGAGAGAGAAAGAUGGGGAGGAGGAUAUUGAACGAUGCCUUGAGGGCAAUAGUGAACGCAGAGAGGAGAAGUAAAUCUACUGUGGAGUUACAGCCCAUUUCUACUGUCACGUCUUCUUUUCUUAAGAUCAUGAAAGACAGGGGAUAUAUAAAAAACUUUCAUGUUUAUGAUCCACACAGAGUGGGAAGGAUAACUGUUGAAUUACAAGGCAGGGUUACUGAUUGUCGAGCUCUCACUUACAGGCAAGACAUUAAGGCAAAGGAUAUAGAAGCUUACAGAUUGCGGAACCUUCCUACACGGCAGUGGGGUUAUGUUGUGGUCACAACUCCGGAUGGUAUAUUGGAUCAUGAAGAGGCUAUCAGUCGGAAUGUGGGAGGUCAGGUUCUUGGUUAUUUUCAUUAGAUGUGUCUUCUGUGUCAUCUUUUCAGAUUGUGAGAACUUGGAAGCUCAAAAGGACCAUGAUGGUUCUUGUUUUCUUUUCCUUUUUUGAAGGGUAAAUUAACUUUCAAUUGAAGCCCGCAUCUCCUCUCUCUUUUAAGUGAAAUGAGUUUACUUUAG
rnacentral:lncRNA from 1 species